UACGCGCACCUGUCUUACGAUUAUUGCAUUGUUCGUACAUCGAUUGCGCGACUGGCGCGCAACUUCAAAUUUAUAAAUAAAGUUUGAAAAAUGAAAUGAAAAACGAAGAGCAUAAAUAAGCGUGCGACGAGAAAUUUCGAUUAACUUGGGAAUUUAAUUCAAGAUACAAAUGCGUUCCUUGGGAUAAUCCUGUCGUUCCAGCAAACUCAAAAAAUAAGGCAAUGUAUGUGCCUUAUUUCUGACCAGGAUAGCGAUCAGCAGAGUGGGUUCCUUUAAAACUGUGUCACAUGUAGCAAAACACGCGAGACUGAUAUAUAUAACGAAAUAAAUCAAAUAGUAUUUUCGAAGUAUCAUCGUAUAAAGUUAAUACUUGUACGAAGUUUAUUAAAUUUCCGUGUUUUUCUCGACGCGGUCUAUUAAGAAAAUUUAAGAAAGAUUUUAUACCAAGAGAUGACACGACGACGUGAUCUCUUUUCUAUUAUCACAAACGCGUGGGUAACGCACGAUCGAUAAAACAGGAAAAUUUAAAAACAAAUCAUACUUGGCAAUAGCUGCUGUGGCAAGUUCUGCAAAUUAUAUGGCAAACAGAUAAUCGUAUUUGCUGCCUUUUGAGAUGCUAAUGCCAACAAAUCAUGUAUUGUCGGCACAACUACAGCAGUUCCAUCAGCUCUGGUGUUUUUUUGCUUGUAACUGAUAAAUCCACCAACAUUGCAAAUAGAAUCUGUUUUAUUUGAGAUAUAGACACCCCAGGUACUGAUUCGUUUAUUAUGCUACUACUAUCAGUCUGAUAUAAACGAUGAUAAAAUAUCCGAAAUUUAUCACGUCUUCCUACACUUAAUGAACGCAUCAGUGAUUUUAAAGACAUUAUUUUUCUCGUCUGAUAAUUGAGGCUUCAUUGGCAAUCCUUUUUUGAUUAUCAUCUAGCCAUAUUAAAAUAAUUUUUCUUGGUAACAUAUAGUCGCAUUUUAUUAAUUCUAUACACACUAUAAACUGUGUACACACACUUCUAUAAAUAUUACUAUUAUACAAUUAUUACACUCCAAAUCAUUAAUGUAGAUAAUCUAAACUUCGUGCAACGGUUUACUGUUUUGCAUCACUCAUUUACAAUUCUCAAGUAUAAUAAGAAUAAUAUUUACAAAUUUUUCAAAGCUACUGUUUUCACUGACAAUGAAUUGAAUGUCUUGAAUUAAUAUACUACGCACUAUACAGCGAUUAAUUAAUUAUACUGUUGAUUGUAAAUAAAACCGGCAUGUAUAAAGCACGUGGUACAUACAUUUAGAAGGGGAAGGGAGGAUUCACUUCUCCACAUUACACUUUGUGCACUUAAAGUGUAACAGAUAUACAUGUAUUCAGAUUCGAAAGAGAAAGAAGGAAGCAUGAGAAAGAACAGUUCCCGCCAAUUUUAUAGAAUAUUUUAGUUCUCUAUAUUUUGUGUGUAAACAGUAAAAGUAGAUUUUUAAUCAUUGUGAGCAAAAAAAAUUCGUUAAUUUUGUUUCAGUAUUUUUCAUCUUGUCGCGGUAUUUCGUAUUCAUUUUUAAAAUAUGACAUCUUUUUUUGGACUAUCGAUAAAAAAUCACGCAUGAUUUUAUCUUUAAUUUAUAA